rnacentral:rRNA from 1 species
UACGAAGGGGGCUAGCGUUGCUCGGAAUCACUGGGCGUAAAGGGUGCGUAGGCGGGUCUUUAAGUCAGGGGUGAAAUCCUGGAGCUCAACUCCAGAACUGCCUUUGAUACUGAAGAUCUUGAGUUCGGGAGAGGUGAGUGGAACUGCGAGUGUAGAGGUGAAAUUCGUAGAUAUUGCAAGAACACAGUGGCGAAGGCGGCUCACUGGCCCGGUAUGACCGCUGAGGCGCGAAAGCGUGGGGAGCAAACA